UGGGGAAUUUUGCACAAUGGGGGAAACCCUGAUGCAGCGACGCCGCGUGAUUUAGAAGGCCUUCGGGUUGUAAAAAUCUUUUCUAUGGGAAGAAAAUGACAGUACCAUAGGAAUAAGGACCGGCUAAUGACGUGCCAGCAGCCGCGGUAAUACGUAAGGUCCGAGCGUUGUCCGGAAUCAUUGGGCGUAAAGGGUACGUAGGCGGGUAAGCAAGUUAGAAGUGAAAUCCUGUAGCUCAACUACAGUAAGCUUUUAAAACUGCUCAUCUUGAGAUAUGGAAGGGAAAGUGGAAUUCCUAGUGUAGCGGUGAAAUGCGCAGAUAUUAGGAGGAAUACCGGUGGCGAAGGCGACUUUCUGGCCAUAAUCUGACGCUGAGGUACGAAAGCGUGGGUAGCAAACAGG
rnacentral:rRNA from 1 species